UUCUAUCAGAACUCCGAGUCGGGACCGGACGGCGCGGCCGGGUCCCCGGGCCUCGUCGGAAUAUGACCCUCGGAGCUCCGAGGUGACCCCUCUCUGCGCGGCCGGCCUUGAUCGGCUUCUCAGCAUCCCGGCCCUGGCCCUGGCUCGGGAGAGGAUCAU
rnacentral:lncRNA from 1 species